UCUCUACAUUUGUGAAGAACUUCAAAAGUCGAAACCAAAAGGUUUGACUUCCAGAUUUUGUAUCUUUCCUUCAGUUUCAGUUAGUUUCUUGUUUGCAUUUACAUUUAUAUUGAAUCCAAGGCUAGAAACCUUAUGUUUAAUCCAUAAACGCGAAUGGGUGCUAGUAUAUAAAGCUUUAUUCAAGAUUGAGAUCACAUAGGAAUUCGGACCUUGACUAUCAAUUUAAACUAAUGUUGUGUUAUUGUUUACGUUAGUUGAACAAUGUGCUUCCUUUUCAUGUAUUGUACGACAAUUUAAUUUUAAUGAUUAAUAUAUUUCAAUUUA